CAAGACCUGCGUCUGCUUCGAGUUUCUGAACAAUGCGGUCGUCACGCUCAACCAGGAUGAAUUCGACGCCGAGCCCCAUCCGGACUACCCCUUUACAUUCCUCAAGGGAGGCAAAUCUUGCCUGUUUCCGAUGUCGGCCGAGAUUGAGGUGUGGGCGAUGACGGAUUUUCAGAUAAUAGUUUCGGUCUACAAAGAAGUCAAGGUGCCUAAAGAGGACAAAAUCCCGAUAGGUUUUUGCAACAUCUCCAUCGCCCAGCAAUUCAAAUGCAUUUCGAGACAACUAAAGGAGAAC